rnacentral:rRNA from 1 species
UACGUAGGGUGCAAGCGUUGUCCGGAAUUAUUGGGCGUAAAGAGCUCGUAGGCGGUUUGUCGCGUCUGCUGUGAAAACCUAAGGCUCAACCUUGGGCUUGCAGUGGGUACGGGCAGACUAGAGUGCGGUAGGGGUGACUGGAAUUCCUGGUGUAGCGGUGGAAUGCGCAGAUAUCAGGAGGAACACCGAUGGCGAAGGCAGGUCACUGGGCCGCAACUGACGCUGAGGAGCGAAAGCAUGGGGGAGCGAACAGGG